GUCUAAGGCCGUACCACCCUGAAUGCACCUGAUCUUGUCUGACCUUAGAAGCUAAGCAGGUCCAGACUGGCUGAUGGGAGAUCACCUGGGAAUACACCUUAGUGCUGCAUGCUUUUGAGC
rnacentral:rRNA from 1 species